GACGAACGCUGGCGGCGUGCUUAACACAUGCAAGUCGAACGGAAAGGCCCUGCUUUUGUGGGGUGCUCGAGUGGCGAACGGGUGAGUAACACGUGAGUAACCUGCUCUUGACUUUGGGAUAACUUCAGGAAACUGGGGCUAAUACCGGAUAGGAGCUCCUGCUGCAUGGUGGGGGUUGGAAAGUUUCGGCGGUUGGGGAUGGACUCGCGGCUUAUCAGCUUGUUGGUGGGGUAGUGGCUUACCAAGGCUUUGACGGGUAGCCGGCCUGAGAGGGUGACCGGCGACAUUGGGACUGAGAUACGGCCCAGACUCCUACGGGAGGCAGCAGUGGGGAAUAUGACACAAUGGGCGGAAGCCUGAUGCAGCAACGCCGCGUGCGGGAUGACGGCCUUCGGGUUGUAAACCGCUUUCGCCUGUGACGAAGCGUUAGUGACGGUAAUGGGUAAAGAAGCACCGGCUAACUACGUG
rnacentral:rRNA from 1 species